GACGAACGCUGGCGGCGUGCUUAACACAUGCAAGUCGAACGGAAAGGCCCUGCUUUUGUGGGGUGCUCGAGUGGCGAACGGGUGAGUAACACGUGAGUAACCUGCCCUUGUCUUUGGGAUAACUUCAGGAAACUGGGGCUAAUACCGGAUAGGAGCUCUUGAUGCAUGGUGGGGGUUGGAAAGUUGCGGCGGUUGGGGAUGGAGUCGCGGCUUAUCAGCUUGUUGGUGGGGUAGUGGAUUACCAAGGCUUGGACGGGUAGCCGGCCUGGAAGGGUGACCGGCUCCAGAGGACUGGGGGAGGGAGCAGUAGGCAAUCGGGAGCAAUGGGCGGGAGUCUUACGGAACAGGGCGGAGGCAGGGAGGAGGACCGCCGGGUCGGGAAACCCGGCUUUUGGGUAAGAACCGCUUUCGCAUGUGACGAAGCGUGAGUGACGGUAAUGGGUAAAGAAGCACCGGCUAACUACGUG
rnacentral:rRNA from 1 species